rnacentral:rRNA from 1 species
GAUCCUGGCUCAGGAUGAACGCUAGCUACAGGCUUAACACAUGCAAGUCGAGGGGCAGCAUGGUCUAGCAAUAGACUGAUGGCGACCGGCGCACGGGUGAGUAACACGUAUCCAACCUGCCGAUUAUUCCGGGAUAGCCUUUCGAAAGAAAGAUUAAUACUGGAUAGCAUAACGAGAAGGCAUCUUCUUGUUAUUAAGGAAUUUCGAUAAUCGAUGGGGAUGCGUUCCAUUAGUUUG